GACGAAGUGGCUGAAGUUAAGGUGUUAGAUUGUAAAUCUAUUUAUGGGUGCACGCCCCUUCGUCA
rnacentral:tRNA from 1 species